GCGGGUGUAACUCAGCUGGUAGAGUGCAGGCUUCCCAAGCCUGAUGUCGCGGGUUCGAACCCCGUCGCCCGCUCCA
rnacentral:tRNA from 1 species